rnacentral:rRNA from 1 species
UACGUAGGGACCAAGCGUUGUUCGGAUUUACUGGGCGUAAAGGGCGCGUAGGCGGCAAUUCAAGUCAGUUGUGAAAUCUCCGGGCUUAACUCGGAAAGGUCAACUGAUACUGUGCGACUAGAGUGCGGAAGGGGCAACUGGAAUUCUCGGUGUAGCGGUGAAAUGCGUAGAUAUCGAGAGGAACACCUGCGGCGAAGGCGGGUUGCUGGGCCGACACUGACGCUGAUGCGCGAAAGCCAGGGGAGCGAACGGG